ACAGUCGGGAACCGCGCCCGCAGCCGCCGGCCGAGUGGCCGGAGAGGGCGAUGGAGCUGGAGCCCGGGGUGUUGCUGCAGGAGGCUCGCGAGAACGUGGAGGCGGCGCAGAGUUACAGGCGGGAGCUGGGCCAGAGGCUGCAGGGGCUGCGGGAGGCGCGGAGGCAGAGUUUGCUGACUCCUGCUCUAGACUGUAAGCAACAUCAGUGACCUCAAUGCUGUAUGCCCAACACCUCGAAAGGAACCUGGCACAUGACAGGUGCCUUGUGGAGAAACUGAGGCUGGAGCCCAGAUCAUCCUGAUUCCUACCACCCACCCCUCCGUUCCUCGGCCACCCAGUUCCUCUUUUCAGCUUCCUCUCACCUGGGCGCUGUAGAGAAAACUUCGGGAUGCAGCUCGGCUAGAC